rnacentral:lncRNA from 1 species
CAUAGACUUAAUGCAACAGCAAAAUGCCUUGUUCCCUGCCUUUGCUGCAACCCAUUUGGCCUCAAGAAGCAAGGGACCUGGAAACAUAACUUUGAUGUCUAAUUGCAAUGGAACAGCACCUCAAAAAAUUGGAUAACCUAUCUGAGCAUCCUGUCCAAACCUUCAUCUUUUUGGCCUAUACUUCUGCCACAAGAUUUCUCAGAGAAAUAUCUAUAUUUAUACAUUAUCUUCUUCUGCCAAUUUAAAAUUCACUUUAAAUAAUAGUAGAAUUACAGAAGCAUUGACUAAGCCCCAUACUGUUGUACUGAAGAAUGUAACUUGUUUCAAAGAACCAAGAUGCCCUGGGAAAGUGAAGUCACCACACUUUUCCAGUUAAUGUAUUUCUGACAUGCCUCUUCUGAUUUACCCUCACACUACUAAUGCCAAUUCACUACGUUGGAGCUUGCAUGACAACCAACUUCUUCACCAUCACGUCAGGAAUUGAAAAAUCAUCAAAUGACCUCAAUAUGUUUAACAACAAGUUUUAGCAAUCUAGAAAAGCAAAUAAUGGAUCUCAGUCUCACAGUCUACAACAGUCUGGGAAAGCAUUCUACACAGUUAUCGACUGAGGCCGUCUGUUCUAUUGUUCAACCGUGGUCUGGCAUUGAUCGACUGAAUAACGAACUAAGCCUGAGAAGGAUAAAAGAGAGUAAGCCAUAUACCUCUGUGUGGACUUGAACUCACUGUCAGCAGGCCUGAGGACCCGACAACCCACCCAUCAGCGGGGACGCCCCUGCUGCCACCUGCCAGGGAGAACCUGAAUCCUCUUGGUGCAGCUCGAGCGUGGUGAGAACAAUCUGACGAAAACAAUACUGGAGGGGUGGCCCAGAAGAACAAGGAAAGGGCGAGAGCGGUCAUUAUACCGUGCAUCCAAGAACAGUCAUUGUACUGUGCAUCCAUGGCUUAACCAUAGAGCUCUGAUACAUGUAUUCUAUUUUUAGUUCUUUACUAUACUUUUUGGCUUUGUUAUACUUGUAGAUUGUCUGCUCUUAAUUAUUUAGUGUUGUCCGGUGUCUGUCAUGUGUGUAGAAUCGCU